GGCCACACCUGGAGCCUGGAGAGGAUUAUUUACGGUCACUCACAAAGGUGUCACAAUCAUAGAAAGUCAUGUGACAAAACUGCAGUUGGUGGUAAUCAUAAACUUUUACAUCUUGGUGGUGAUGAACAGAUUUCUCUCUAUAUGCUCCCAACCAAUAAACUAUCCCGAAGGACUUUGCUGGGCUAUGAGAUGACUCUCCAGCACAUAGUCAUUCAACCUCCUCUUCUCUCUGGAUCGUUUGGCUGCCUCGUUGUUCUUGCGGCGUUUCUCCCAGUAGAGGGCGUCCUUCCUCUCCUCAGCUAUCAUCGUUACAUCCCCUGAAUCCAGACAUCAUUACAAACAUGUUCCAAACCUCUUUGAGUGAAAAAUUAUCUUGGGG